CCUACGGGAGGCUGCAGUGGGGAAUAUUGCACAAUGGGGGAAACCCUGAUGCAGCGACGCCGCGUGAGUGAAGAAGUAAUUCGUUACGUAAAGCUCUAUCAGCAGGGAAGAAACACUGACCUUACGGUCAGCAGACGGUACCUGAGUAAGAAGCGCCGGCUAACUACGUGCCAGCAGCCGCGGUAAUACGUAGGGGGCAAGCGUUAUCCGGAUUUACUGGGUGUAAAGGGAGCGUAGACGGUGCGCCAAGUCUGGCGUGAAAUGCCGCAGCUUAACUGCGGAACUGCUUUGGAAACUGGCGAACUAGAGUGCGGGGAGGGUAGGCGGAAUUCCUAGUGUAGCGGUGAAAUGCGUAGAUAUUAGGAAGAACACCGGUGGCGAAGGCGGCUUACUGGAGCGUAACUGACGUUGAGGCUCGAAAGCGUGGGGAGCAAACAGGAUUAGAUACCCCAGUAGUC
rnacentral:rRNA from 1 species